CCCGCUUCCUUGCUGUGACAUAGGCUCCUAAUGGAGCUUACGCCACUGACGUAAACCCAGCCACAGGCCGUAUUCACAGGACCGUGUGACGGCUGUUCCCAUUUGUGUGGACCGCAAAGUGCGGAACAGCAAAACAAGGGCACCAACCAUGUGCACCCCACAUCGUGGGGAGUGCGAUCCAAAGCAGUGACCAGUCUCAGGAGGGACUGGCCAAGCAGCUCCAGCACCGCCUGCUACAGUUACAUAGACACUCCCAUAUCAAUUUCAUCGUCAAUGCCUGACACGCCCAUGGACAUUAGAUCACAGGGGGGAAAAAAGAGCUGCAUCGGCAUGGUCAUGUGACUUCAGCUCAGAAAGGAAGAUAGGAGAAGUAAAGGCACAGUGCCAAUCACUAAUCACAAAAUUGCUGGGAUGGCAGUACAGCCCUGCGCUGUUCUUGCUGUCAAAAAUGACGGAACUGUCCAUAGAGGCUCCGAAUGGAACCCUGAGUGGCAAUGUGAACACAGUCUUAUACAGUCGAAGU